rnacentral:misc_RNA from 1 species
GAUUAUCUAUUCGGGUUGGAUAAUUCGGAUGAUCCUCCCCAACCUCGUGAGUCUAAAAUGAAGAGUCGACUUGUUUUGCAAGACAACGUUUCGGCUUCCGAUCCAGGUUCUCCUGCUCCGGUUGUUUCUUCGCCGUUCUGCUCGACUUCGUCAGCCAUCCCGAUUGUGCCUUCGAUUCCUGAUCUUCCACCCGUCAAGACCAAGCCCGAAAACCUGGAUCCAAUCAUACAACCGAAGCAGAAUACAAUAGAUGUUUGUUCUGAGACAAUUGAAGUAAUGACGACCCAACCAACUCGGUACCCGAGUCAUCCCGUCAUGCAUUAUAUUCCGGAUUCUCAUUAUCCUGGUCAUCAAGUACAACAAAUGCCAGUUUACUACGUACCGGGUCCAGUUCCACCGGGUAAUGUUCCAGUGCAGCCCUUUCAAAUUCGGGCUCCAUACGUUCAGCAAUACCCAGUGUCAACGGGUCAAAUACCAGUGGGGUAUCACCAAGCAGUUCCGGGUAUGAGUCCAUUAUACGGUGGGGCUGCUAUGAGGCCUAUUACUACAUUGGAUCCCUAUGACGGCGGAAGAGCAGUUCCUGAUGGGAUGAAUCAACAGGUUUAUUAUGGGGUCAGAAAUGUAAGUCCAGGCAUGGUUCAGGGGUACCCAGGUAUGGUGGUGCCUGGUGGCGAAGAUUUGCAAAGGACUGUCUCGGACACAAAGUCGGGUCGAGUCUCCCAAUCUUCUUGAUGAUAACUGCAGUAUAUUAUUUGGUAUUUUGCUUGCUUAUGUUUUGCUUUAAGGUUUGUGAUUGGUGAUUGUCCGCUAAAACGAACUUGUAAAUUGUAAUUAGCUUGCUUUUCUUCUUUCAAAUGCUUCUGUUUUGUUGAUUUUGUGUAUAAUAU